AUUCCUACGGGAGGCAGCAGUGGGGAAUUUUGCGCAAUGGGGGAAACCCUGACGCAGCAACGCCGCGUGGAGGAUGAAGUCCCUUGGGACGUAAACUCCUUUCGACCGGGACGAUACUGACGGUACCGGGAGAAGAAGCACCGGCUAACUCUGUGCCAGCAGCCGCGGUAAUAAU
rnacentral:rRNA from 1 species